rnacentral:lncRNA from 1 species
CUGCCCCCAGAGGUGGAGCCUACAGAGACAGGCAGGCCUCCUUGAGCUGUGGUGGGCUCCACCCAGUUCGAGCUUCCUGGCUGCUUUGUUUACCUAAGCAAGCCUGGGCAAUGGUGGGCGCCCCUCCCCCAGCCUCGCUGCUGCCUUGCAGUUUGAUCUCAGACUGCUGUGCUAGGAAUCAGCGAGACUCCAUGGGGUAGGACCCUCCGAUCCAGGUGCAGGAUAUAAUCUCGUGGUGCGCCGUUUUUUAAGACUUAUAUUUCCAGUCUCAGGAUCACUGCCUUAUGGGGCCAGCAGCAGUCCAAGUUUUCCUGCACAUGAACUCUGCUAUUCUAAGAACACACAAAAAUAGUGGCUAAGAAUUAUACCAAUUACCAUAGGGAUAGCAACAAACUGAA